rnacentral:rRNA from 1 species
UGGGCAACCUACCCUUCUGGUGGGGACAACUCCGGGAAACCGGGGCUAAUACCGCAUUCGGUCACCGAUCGCAUGUCUGGUGAAGAAAGCAGCAAUGCGCAGAAGGAUGGGCCCGCGGCCUAUCAGCUAGUUGGUGGGGUAACGGCCUACCAAGGCGAAGACGGGUAGCUGGUCUGAGAGGACGACCAGCCACACGGGGACUGCGACACGGCCCCG